rnacentral:rRNA from 1 species
AGAGUUUGAUCCUGGCUCAGAGUUAACGCUGGCAGCGUGCAUAACACAUGCAAGUCGAGCGGAACACUUGUUGUAGCAAUACAGUAGGUGUUUAGCGGCAAACGAGUGAGUAACACGUAUGAAAUCUACCCCGAAGUGGGGGGCAACUGGCUGAAAAGUCAGCUAAUACCCCAUAUAAUCCUCUAAUGGCAUCGUUUAGG